UCUCCCUCUCUCUCUCCCCUCAACUCCUCAGCCCCAGCGGUCGAGCUGCUCACCGAGGCGCAGAGGCGGCGAUGGGAUGAGGCGGCGGCAGCUGGAAGUCCGCGCGGCGCGAAGUUCUGUCCAGAUGCGCGCGCGGCCCGGGGGCGGCGGGGCAGGGCGCGCAACGUCUGCGCCGCCGCCGCCUGCCUCUCCCUGAGGAGGGGGCUUGGACCUCCACGGAGCUGUGCGUGUGUGCACACGUAUCUGUAUCUAUAUCUGUAUACGUAGCCCUCGGGCUUGCGUGGAUGGGCAGCCCCUUCCCUUCCUGAGCCCCCUGAAGUUGUGAGCGGGCAGCACUGCAAAGAGGAAGGCAAGGGGCAGCGGUGGCAGUGGCCGGCCCUAGGGGCUCCCCAGGGAGGCAGCGGUGCUAAACAGCUGGAAGCCGGAGCAGUCCACGCGGAGAAGUGGCCGGGACGGAGCCGACCCCCUGCUCCGCGGCCAGCUGUUUCCUCUCCAAGAGGGGUUGUUGGUUUUUCUUUUUUGGUUUUGUUUUUUUUUUUUUUUUCACUCCGCUUCUCACUCCUUGUUAAGAAGUGAUCAACAUGCAAAGUGAACUGAAAACUGAAACUGCUCUCUGGGUGCAUAAACUUUGGUUUUGUGCCCCUUUCAAGUGUUUUACUUCAUGAUGGGGAGAAAAGGAUUAUCUGAAACAUUGAGACAGAGGUUGGGUUUCACUGGUUGAAGAUAUGAUGAAGACUGUAAAAGGAGACACGAAAUAACUUUCUUUAUUGGUUGGGUAUUCAUUUAAAAAAAAAAUCACAAACAGAAAUGAAUAGUAAUUAAUACAUUGUUCUGCUUGCUAGGAAAGAGAGAGAAAGAGAGGCUGAUGGAGGACUUUUGCUGAUCUUCCCCCAUUCUCAUCUAUCCCAAAGAAAAAAAUGAAGAUAAACCUUUGUUUACAACUUGAGAGAACAGGCAGACUGGGAAGAGUAACUUCAGUAUCUGGGUAUAUUAUACAAAGCACUGUACAUUGCCAGAUUCAGCAAACAUUAGUUUGAAUAAAAAUUAUGAUUUCGUCAUCA